rnacentral:RNase_P_RNA from 1 species
GCUGCUGCCUAAGGGUAGAGGAAAGUCCAUGCUCGCACCAUCUGCGAUGAUGGUAGUGUUUGUGCCAGGGGAACCAAUAACCCUGGGUAUGGAGGAGUCCAUAACGGCGGAGGAAGGUCUCUCGUAGAUUGGAAUCCCCAAGGUGCCACAGAGACGAGCUUGGCGGCGACGCCAAGAUGAAACGCGGUAAACCCCUCAAGCGAGAAACCCAAAAUUGGUAGGGGAAGCGAAGAAGGCAAAAGAUAAAGAAGCCAGAUUCGCCAGCGAAAGCUGAGAUAAAUUGCCAUCCUCGACAUAACAUGGCUUAUCG